rnacentral:rRNA from 1 species
CAGCAGCCCGAGUGGUGAUCCUUUUUAUUGGGCCUAAAGCGUCCGUAGCCGGACUAGUAAACCCUUGGGUAAAUUGGGCAGCUUAACUGUCCAAAUUCCGAGGGGACUGCUAGUCUUGGGACCGGGAGAGGUCAGAGGUACUCAAGGGGUAGGGGCUAAAUCCUGUAAUCCUUUGGGGACCACCAGUGGCGAAGGCGUCUGACUAGAACGGAUCCGACGGUAAGGGACGAAACCCUGGGGCGCGAACCGGAUUAGAUACCCGUGUAGUCC